CGUGUCGAGAGAAGACUUUCAGUUUCACUCUCUCUUUUCUUCUUUCCUCUUCUUUUCUGCUUCUUCUCUUCUCUUUUCUUUUCUUCUUCAGUUCUUCGCCUCUAGCGAUUCUAUCAGUUUCUGAGGAUGUGAGGUCACGAGAAAUAGACAAGUUAUCAUGAACUGAGUGAGGUGGUGAUGAUGUUGGAAUUGAUUUAGUUUCAGAAGAGGAAUUGGAUAAUAAGAUUUUGAGAUUAGGGUUUCUGCAAGAUGAAGUUAUGAAGGAGUUGAUUAAUUAAAAGAGGAUUUGCGCAGUUGGUGAUGAAGAACAAAGGGGGUUGGUGUUUAAUUGUAAUUAUGAAGUUUAUUCAGUGUUGAGUUGAAGAGUUAGGGUUUCGUUAAAAUUCAGGGAAACUAUUGAAAGGUGAAAUCGAUGUUCUAAGAGGUUGAUUCGAGUUGGGUAAUGAUUGAAUUGAGGAUUUGGAGUGAUAUUACAGAUGAAGAUAAGUUCUAGAGGAUGAAAUCCAAUGAUGGUGAUUGAAUUUAGGGUUCUUGAUAGAACAGAGUUUUGAGAUUCAUGGGUUUGGUUUGGUGAUGGAAGAGAUGAUACUAAUGAUAUGUAAUUAGACGAAGAAGAAGACUUUUGUGUUUGUUUUUGAGUGAUUUGAUUAUGGAAAUGGGAGUAAACUGGUGGUUGUGUGAUUGUGGUGGAAGUGACAACAUUCCAUAAAACAGGUGGUGUUGGUGGAAGAUAUGAACUGCUGGUGGAGUUGAAAUAGAAGAUGUGAUGUAUGUAUGGCCAUGGGAAUGAUUACAGGUGCAAGAGAAUGUUUUUGGAUUUGGAAUUGGGUAUAGUGGUGUCAUUAUUGCUGCUGUGGGUUAAAGAAUGUGGGGAAGCAGUUGGAAGUAUGUUAAUAGAGGCUAUGUGAAGAUGAAUGUUAAGAAUUUGGAGAUGAUAAUGAUAUUAAGUUAUCCAGUGAUUAGAGGAUAUAAAUGGAGUUGGGGAUGAAUGAAUUAAUGGUAAUAGUAAAUUGAGAAUGAAUGUACAGAUUUGGAGUUGUUGCUGCUGUUGUUAUUGUUUGUUAGAGUUUAGUUGUUGCUGCUAAGAGAACUGAAUUGAGGUUGAUGUGGAUAUGGUUUUGGAAGUGAACUGGUGGUGUUGUUUAUGAAUAUGAAUGUUGGGAUUUGACUGAAAAGAAGGCUUCAUGAGGGAUGGUCUGAGGUGGUGAAUUGGUUUCGUAGUUGGUGGUGUUUCUGCUGAGAGGAGAGGUUGUAACUGAAGUUGGAAUGGUUGUAUUAUUGAAGUUACAGCUGCAGUUCAAACUGUAUGCAGUGGUGCAAGUUCUGUUAUUUGGAUGACGAGUGAACUAGUGUAAGAAGAAUGAGUUAAUAGAGUUGUAGAUAGUGUUCCAGUGAAAGCUUGGGACUGCUUUUGCAGGUAAAGCUUAAAUUCCAGUUGUAUAUUGAAUUCUUGAAUUCUGUUAGAGUGAAUAUUUAUGUAAUGAUCAUUUUGGAUAGAAUCUGAGUUAGUGAACCUGUAUGAACUCCUGCUCCUGA